CCGGUACAGUAGCCGCCCCACCUCCGUCGUCUCCCGCAGCAGCAGAGUAACGUUGACGGUGUCUGCAUUCCCCGUCACCAUGGCCUCCCCCGUGACGCUGAUGUGGCUUAGACAGUGACCUGCGUGCGUGACAGGAUGAUAAUUUAGAUCCAGGUGGGGAGGAGGCCUUCGCAUUGGGGGGACAGGUGCCCAGAGAGGGGGGAGGCAGGCCUGCACACCUGUCUCUGGCCGCCUUGCUCGUCACACGCCACAGAAAACACUCCACCUGCAUUUGUCAGACAUCCUCUUGCGCCGGUAGGCUUCUUCCCGGUGGGGCCUGAUGGUCGGCCCAAGUCUUCGCGGUGGGGCCUGAUGGUCGGCCCAGCCCGUUCUGGCGCAGGCGAG